AACAUCAAUAUUAUCGCUCCACGGUUAUCCCUGUGUAAGAUUUCGUUCUGCGCGGGGACCGGGUUAUGUGUUGUUCACUAUUUCCUGGUUUUAAUAAUUUGUGUUGAAGCGUAGAUUUAAUACCAAGUACGUUGCUGGGCGCCUGAUAUUGAGUCAAUUUGAUUAUGAUCUAUUGGGAAUCAGCUGUAUCUACAUUU
rnacentral:snoRNA from 15 species